rnacentral:misc_RNA from 1 species
UUUCCGUAGGGGAACCUGCGGAAGGAUCAUUAUUGGAUUUUGAAACUUCAGGCUGCUGCUGGCUCUCCUCGGAGGGCAUGUGCACGCUUGUUGUCCAUUAUUUCUCCCACUGUGCACAAAUUGUAGACCUUUCAGUAGGCCUAUGUUGUUUUUCACAAUCUCUGAAUGUAAUAGAAUGGUUUUGAAUCUUGGGAAAUACAAUACAACUUUCAGCAACGGAUCUCUUGGCUCUC